GGNGGGGGGCUUACNUUGCCAGUUCAAACGGCACCACGGCUUUCGGCCUGGUGCCAAUUGGCGAACGGCCGAGUUAAUACAUCGAAACGUGCCCUGUAUUGGGGGAUACCUAUCCAAAGAAUUACCUAAUCCCGUAGCCNACCUGAGGUUGAAACCGGGGAACCCCAAGGCCUCCCCCUACAGGAGCGGCCGAUGUCUGAUUACCUAUUUGGGGGGUAAAGACCUACCCAGGCAACAACCAUUACCUGGUCUGAAAGGACAAUCACCCACCUGGGACUGGACACGGCCCAAACCCCUACGGAAGGAGCCGUGGGGAAAUUUUGACACAAGGGGGGCAACCCUGAUCCAGCAAUGCCGCUUGUGUGAAAAAGGCCUUCGGUUAUGUAACCGCAUUUUAGUCCGGAAAGAANUGGCUGNG
rnacentral:rRNA from 1 species